UGGAGGGUGGCUGGGGGUGGCGGCACCCUGCUAGGGGGUUUUACAGGAACUGUAUCGAGGGUUCGAAUCCUCUCUCUCCGCC
rnacentral:tRNA from 1 species